ACAAUAAGAGCAAGACCUAGAGCCGGAGCUAAAGGAGGAGUGAGAAAGACAUGCCAAGAAGAGAGAAACGAAGAGAUGGCCUUCAAUAUUUCUGAGUCUGACAGAGGAGACAGCAAAAAGACACUGAAAGAAGCAAUGGCGUGGAAUUUUUUACAGCAAUUUUUUACAGCAAUGGCGUGGAAUUUGAGAAACAACUAAGGAAAAAUUCAAGGAUACUUAAUUUUAGCAGAAAGAGCUGAUAAUUAUCAAGAGUCCAAAUCUUCUACUCAACAAGUAGAAGGAUCUUGAUACAAAUACUGCCAAGCAGCUUAGGGGCUGUUUCAAAUCUUCAGAUACAUCCUGCAAUUCAGAUUAAUAUUUUAAUACCAAACAUCAUUACAGAGAAGACUCACAAAAUAGCAAGAAUACCGUUAUUAUGGAUUGAUUUCACUGAAGGAAAUGAAAAUCAAGACUGAAGAAAUACAAGAAGUGGCCAGGGAAUAUCUAUUUUAAACUGACUGUUCUAACAAUUUGGCGUUAGAUGUCAUGUUCUUGUAUAUCCACAUUAAUGCUAGUAAUUUGUCAUUACAUCAGGAAAGAACACCAAGUGUGCUUAUUUUUAUGAUAUUGCCUAUCAUAAAUUCAUAAAAUCAUAUUCAUAAUUCAUAAUACCAUAAACCCAUAUUUUUAUGAUUUGCCUAUUUUUAUGAUAUUGUAAUGGUGAUAUGAUAUCACCAUUACACAUUCUCAUGAUCACUAGUUUUGUUUAAUUUCAUUUGGAUUAAACUGAUGU